ensembl:lncRNA
UGGGACGUUAAUUUCGGUGGACAAAUUGAUACAGGUUAUAUUUCAGUGUCACCCUAUCAAGUUGAUCAGCAACGUAAGAGGUUUUCCCUUUGAAAUUAAAAUAGCCAUUUAUCUUUUUUUCCCCCGAAGUUACAAGGAGACACUUUCAUAGUGUCCACAUUGUGGCAGAAAUGCCAGAGAACGUUUUUUUGUUUAGCAAACAAAAAAUAAAUGUAUUCUCUGAAUGAACCGUAGGUGGCAGCAGAACGCCGAAAGGCCUGUAGAUCACCAGUAACUAAUAAAAGAAGAAGUAGCUUAUCGUGCACCAGCAUGGACGUAUCAUAGAAUCACCAGAGGCUGUAGUUCCGUCUAACUUCAUGAAGGCGUUGGUAAGUGGAGUCCCCUUAUAACGGCGGUAUAACUCAAUUUGCAUUGCUUAAUAUAACCUCAACAGACUUUAACCGGAAACCGAUGCAAUCUUGUAUAAUAUUUCAAAUUCUGCGUUGUGGUGUUUCUGGCUAUGUCGUGGAAUUCUUGUUCGUAAUCUUUUGAAGUAUAUCGUCGUCUAACACCGUCGCUUCUAUUUGUGCUGUCUCCGUGUGAUGAUAACUUUCACAGACCUGUUCUGAAUGACUGUGAAUGCACCAUAUUUAUUCUGAAUGGAGACACUCGCUGCUCAGUUCUUUGCAUAAACCUGACGAAGUCAUCGUGGGAUUCCAUCGGCCUAGCACGUGUUGGGCUGUGUCAGAACCAAUGGAGUCUGCAACGCGUUAAUGUGUUCAUUCUGUUUUAGGUUCUCAGGUGGAAGAGGAACACCGCCUUACUGCUCACUACAAAGGUUGUGCAAUGAAGGCUAAAAUCCGAGUAUGGACAGAAAAAGGUUGAUGGCUGCAUAGUUGACUGGUGGAAAUGUGAACUAGCUUCACAAACCUGGACUUUGGCCAGUUAGUCCAAUGGAGGCCAUUGUUGAGACAUGGGACUUGGUGCUGCGGUGAGAUCGUCCAAGUUUAAAACCGCCCACAUUUGAAGGUGUCUUGGCGGUGGUGUUCAGAAACGAUUUCUACUCCAACCAAGGGUUCCUCGGAGCUAGACUGGUCCAGUGUUGAUCGGCCCCACUUGAGUCCUCAAACCCAGAUCUGGACCAACAUGAUUCUGGUCAUGUGGAUGUUCGGGCGGUCACGUUAACCAUCACGUCACACGCUGCCUCAAUCCCGUGGCCAUGGCAGAUGUUUCUAAAAUGUCUGCCAUGGGCCUUCACUAAGGUGUGGGGACGGUGCUGACUCUGUUCCAUUAACACAGGACCUAGACUUGUCCUGUGACUGGCGUCCUCAAACCCAGAUCUGGGUCAUCUUGGUAUGUUGACGUUCAUAUCACAAAACACUUCAUGGCUUUAUAGAAGGAUGUUGCAUUUUACCGCCCCAGUCUGAAGAUUCAUGACUGAUUGGUACACACUCUGAUCCGACAUAAUGACAGACUAAGCAGCUGGUUAACUGUUAAACGUGAUCACUUGCAUGUUUGUUGGUGAUCAAGACGGAAUUUGGAAGUUGGGUCGCCUUUAUAACGGAGAUGAAAGUAAAUUUUGUGUUUAUAACCUCCACAUGCAUUAACCGGUGACCGAUGCAAUCAUGUUUAAUAUUUCAAAAUCUGCGUUGUGAUUUUGUCAGGUUAUUUUCUUGGCAUGCUCGUGUGUAAUCUACUGAAGAAUAGCGUUGUGAAACGCCGUCGCUGCUAUUGGCGCUGUCUCCAAGUGAUGAUAACUUUCACAGACCUGUUCUGAAUGACUGUGAAUGCACCAUAUUUAUUCUGAAUGGAGACACUCGGCGCUCAGUUCUUUGCAUAAACCUGACGAAGACAUCGUGGGAUUCCAUCGGCCUAGCACGUGUUGGGCUGUGUCAGAACCAAUGGAGUCUGCAACGCGUUAAUGUGUUCCUUCUGUUUAGGGUUCUCAGUUGGACGAGGAGCACUGCCUUACUGCUCACUACAAAGGUGGAGCAAUGAAGGCUAAAAUACGAGGUGGUAAUGUGAACUAGCUCCACAAACCUGGACUUCGGCCAGUUAGUCCAAUGGAGGCUAUUGUUGAGGCGAGUCCCACAAGAUCUUAAUGCUUGUACACUUGCUUUACCGUGUUUCAAUAACGUUAAACCUAGCUCACUUUGAACCGAUGUGAAACUAUACAAACUUACUGAGAAUCUUCAGACCCCAUAUUGAGUGUUGA